GUCCCGCAUCCUAGGGAGCCCUGUGGCGUCCGAGAUCAUGCUCUGUCCACCAAGGGCGACUCAGACUUUGGAGUCCUCGUGCUCUGUUAGGAUCCUUGCUGGAGCAUCGGCCCAGGGACAGACGGCACCCGGAACUGACCCAGCGGCCCGAUCUCCUCAGCCUCGGUCCCGGGUUGAUUUGGGGGUUAAAGGUUAUACUUUUUGAGAAAGGUAGUAAAACAUUAAUGGUGAGUAAAGUUCUUUCUCUUUCGCCCCGUAGGUUAACUGGGCGAUCCUGUUUGCUCUAUAAAGUGAACCGUAUUUGCCAAGGGUGAUGUGAACUCUGAAGCAGAAAUGACCUUGAUUUCCUCCUGCCGCUGGGCUGCUGGGUCGAGGUGAGCGCCGCAAAGUGUUAUCCGGCGGCCGGAAACAGCCCUGUCAUGCCCAGGACCACUCUCAUCACGUCCCUCCGGUAGGAUGAUUUGAGACCAGAGGACCCAACACGUCAGCAAGGCACUGACUUCCCAGAGCCCAUCCCUCGCUGCCAACGGGCUGAUGCGUGUACAUCAUGCACAGUGGUGCCCGCUGAGGUUGAAGGCUGACUCGCUUUCAUCAUUUGGAGGCUCUGGCGUUGUUCCCGUUGUCUGGCCCCUGGACUCUCGGGUGCCCUUGGACCGCGCCUCGGGUUCUACAUCGUGGUUCGUCGUCUUCCCACUAGAACGGAAACUCCGUGAGAGCGGGACGUUGGCCUGUUUUGUUCAUCACGGCCAUCCCAGCGCUUAGAGCGCACCUGGCACAGAGCGGGCGCUCGGUGAGGACUUGGCAAAUGACCAGAUGAAUCCUCUCACCCGUUUCACACUUGUUGCCCCCCUGUCUUUGCGGCACUCACCCCCCCCCCCGCCUUCCCAGGCAGCCACAGGUGUUCCGGGGCACUCGUGAAACAAUGAGACGGCAGGAUGAGACCAGCAGAGCCGGGAGCUAACACAUGGGCUGGGCUGGCACGCCUUGGCAGGAAGUCCUCGGGCGCAGAGGCCCUCGAGGGCGAAGGGCUGAGGUCAGGCAGGCGCCAGCGUGUCUGCUGGGCAAAGAUCAGGUCGGUGCGGGGUGGCGGCUGGAUGAGCUCAGAUGAGCAGAAAAUCCAUCCCAGGUUGCCCUGAGGACAUGGGGAAAAGUGCCGAUUUUAAGGAUCGCGCCGAAUUCUGUCUUCGCUGACUUCAAGAGCGCGGCCGAAGCCAUUUCUAGAAGAUCAUCCCCCCGUCUGGUCGGGGGCUGUUCCGUAGCGCCUGGAAAUGUCUCUCACCAUGCCGAGGCUCUUACGGUGCUCCUGUGUGUGGUCCUGAGUCUUGGCUUUCCUAAACACAGCCCAGAAGCUGUCCUUUUCCCAACGCUGGGCAGGCUGCCGAGACAUCGCCCAAAUCGGCGGAAGCACGUAAGCAAGUUGAGGCAGACCCUCAUCGGUCAUCGUAUUAAAAAAAAAAAAAAAAAAAGUCUUUCUCUCUCUGUCUCUCUGUCUCUCUCUGUCUCAUUGAGCAUCCAAGAUGGGAGCAUCCCCCCGAGCUUGGGCAGGAGGCUGGUUGCUUCCACGGGGCCUGAGGUUUGAAGGCGGAAAUGCGCACGUGCGUCCGCAGUCACAGCUGAUGACCGGGCGAGGAAGCCCUUUGUCACCGUCCUGGCCUGUUCGCAACAGCCCUGGAGACGCAGGUGAGACUUGCAGCCGCGGGUGGCCCGGCUCAGGAAGCACCUGCUUGGCCGCCCACACUCCGAAAGCCCGUCCCGGCUGCUGGAUGUCGCGCUCCACGCGCUCUCAGAAGGCAGCCGUGCGUCGCUGCUGUUUGCAACGUGACAAAAGGCCCGCAUGAGAUGACCGGGGCGUCCGGAAGAGGCAACAGGAAUCCAGGCAGCCUGCAAAUGGACACCCGUGCCAUGCAGCCUCUGACAGAUUAGGCUUAUCCUUGGCACAGAGGGGUGGCUUCACGGCGUUUGGCAGGAAUCGGACUAACCUCUUAUUUCCUAACAAUAUCAAAAUCAAAACCGCAUGGCUGAGGCAGAUAGCCAACCUUUCAGGACCGCGAUGACGCGAUUUGGCUGUUGACUCUAAUCAAGGCACAAACUAGUGAUCAACUUUGGAUUCGAUGAUGUGCCUGUAAAGAUAACCGAGGAGCCGUCACAAGUGACGGUCAGUCAAAGGCUUUUCGGACAAUAGCUGGCAUUACAACAUGCCAAUUACGUUUUUAUCAGGUAGUUAAGAUAAUUACCUGUGGUCACUGUGCUAGCGGGACAAGUACAGAUUGCUGUAAACAUCUGCUGACCGCGUUAAAACGCUGCCUCCCCGCCUGGGAGGGAUCAAGGGUACGAGACUAUGCAGGUGUAUUCCCACCAGCUGAUGUCAUAAAAUACAGUGGUUUUUCACCCGGA